UACGGGGGGGGCAAGCGUUGUUCGGAAUUACUGGGCGUAAAGGGCGUGUAGGCGGUUGUUUAAGUUUGGUGUGAAAUCUCCCGGCUCAACUGGGAGGGUGCGCCGAAUACUGAAUGACUUGGAGUGCGGGAGAGGAGAGUGGAAUUCCUGGUGUAGCGGUGAAAUGCGUAGAUAUCAGGAGGAACACCGGUGGUGUAGACGGCUCUCUGGACCGUAACUGACGCUGAGACACGAAAGCGUGGGUAGCAAACAGG
rnacentral:rRNA from 1 species